GCAGAGCUUCCACCUCGUACCUUUUGCAUCAUGAUUUAGCCAGUAUCCUCAAGCAAAGAGCACUUUAGUUUGACACCCCGAAACUAAGUGAGCUACUCCAAGACAGCCUGUUAAUAGGGCAAACCCGUCUCUGUGGCAAAAGAGUGGGAUGAGCUUUGAGUAGAGGUGACAGACCUACCGAACUUAGUUAUAGCUGGUUGCCUAGGAAACGGAUAGAAGUUCAGCCUCCCGGCUUCUUUACAAACCGAGAGAGUUAGUCAAAGGGGGGACAGCCCCUUUGACACAAGACACAACUUUAACAAGAGGAUAAAGAUCAAAAUUACCUAAAGGUAAAAUGUUUUGGUGGGCCUAAAAGCAGCCAUCCCCAUAGAAAGCGUUAAAGCUCAAACAUCCUAUCCCGAUAAUAAAAUCUUAUUCCCCUAAUUUUACUAGGCCAUCCCAUGAUUAAACCAUGGGAGAGAUUAUGCUAAUAUGAGUAAUAAGAGAGCUCUCUCUCCCCGCACAAGUGUAUCUCGGAACGGACCCCCCACCGAACCUUACCGCCCCCAAACAAAGAGGGUAUUGAACUACAACUGGAAGACCCCCCACCGUUAACCCCACACUGGUGUGCCCAUAAGGAAAGACUAAAAGAAAGAAAAGGAACUCGGCAAACAAGCCUCGCCUGUUUACCAAAAACAUCGCCUCUUGCAUAAAUAAGAGGUCCCGCCUGCCCUGUGACUAAAUGUUUAACGGCCGCGGUAUUUUAACCGUGCAAAGGUAGCGCAAUCACUUGUCUCUUAAAUGGAGACCUGUAUGAAUGGCAUAACGAGGGCUAAGCUGUCUCCUCUUUCAAGUCAAUGAAAUUGAUUUCCCCGUGCAGAAGCGGGGAUACCCACAUAAGACGAGAAGACCCUAUGGAGCUUUAGACACAAGGUAAAUUAUGUUAAUACCCCUCCACAUAAGAGGAUUAAACCAAAUAACCCUUACCUCUAUGUCUUUGGUUGGGGCGACCGCGGGGAAAUAAAAAACCCCCACGUGGAAAGGGAACAUUCCUACAAGUAAGAGCUCCCGCUCUAACAAACAAAAUUUUUGACCAAUAAGAUCCGGCAACGCCGAUCAACGGACCGAGUUACCCUAGGGAUAACAGCGCAAUCCCCUUUUAGAGCCCAUAUCGACAAGGGGGUUUACGACCUCGAUGUUGGAUCAGGACAUCCUAAUGGUGCAG
rnacentral:rRNA from 1 species